rnacentral:rRNA from 1 species
AGGACGAACGCUGGCGGCGUGCUUAACACAUGCAAGUCGAGCGGAAAGGCCCUUCGGGGUACUCGAGCGGCGAACGGGUGAGUAACACGUGAGCAACCUGCCCUUGGCUCUGGGAUAGCCUCCGGAAACGGGGAUUAAUACCGGACAUCCACUUUCUCCUGCAUGGGUGAUGGUGGAAAGUUUUUCGGCCAGGGAGGGGCUCGCGGCCUAUCAGCUUGUUGGCGGGUAACGGCCCACCAAGGCGACGACGGGUA